rnacentral:rRNA from 1 species
GAUGAACGCUGGCUACAGGCUUAACACAUGCAAGUCGAGGGGAAACGACGGGGAAGCUUGCUUCCCCGGGCGUCGACCGGCGCACGGGUGAGUAACGCGUAUCCAACCUGCCUCUGACUGAGGGAUAACCCGUCGAAAGUCGGCCUAAUACCUCAUGGCAUCGUCUGCGGGCAUCCAACGACGAUUAAAGAUUUCAUCGGUCAGAGAUGGGGAUGCGUCUGAUUAGCUUGUUGGCGGGGUAACGGCCCACCAAGGCGACGAUCAGUAGGGGUUCUGAGAGGAAGGUCCCCCACAUUGGAACUGAGACACGGUCCAAACUCCUACGGGAGGCAGCAGUGAGGAAUAUUGGUCAAUAGGCGAGAGCCUGAACCAGCCAAGUAGCGUGCAGGAUGACGGCCCUAUGGGUUGUAAACUGCUUUUAUGCGGGGAUAAAGUGAGGGACGUGUCCUUCAUUGCAGGUACCGCAUGAAUAAGGACCGGCUAAUUCCGUG